GGAUGAAAACAAUCACAUGCUGGUGAGAGAGAUCGGGAAUGUGACCAAGGGGCUCGAGAUGACUUUCCAGUUUGCUGUAAAACCAGAAUUUAUGGACGUUUUCCUCCAGAGAGACACACUUCCAUUCCAACUUCAGCUGAACUUUAAAACCAGAGAUCAGGAGAAAGUGACUCGUGUUGUGACGGAGCAGCGUCCGGUGACCGUCUGCAGCCGUGUGUGUGCUGGGAGCCUGAACAUGGCGGUGCUGGGCGUCCACUGUGCUCAGCUGUGUGCCAGUUUA